rnacentral:rRNA from 1 species
GACGAACGCUGGCGGCAUGCCUAAUACAUGCAAGUCGAGCGAACAGAUGAAGUGCUUGCACUUCUGACGUUAGCGGCGAACGGGUGAGUAACACGUAAGGAAUCUACCUAUAAGCGGGGGAUAACAUUCGGAAACGGGUGCUAAUACCGCAUAAUAUCUUCUUCCGCAUGGAAGAAGAUUGAAAGACGGCUCUGCUGUCACUUAUAGAUGACCUUGCGGUGCAUUAGUUAGUUGGUGGGGUAACGGCCUACCAAGACGAUGAUGCAUAGCCGACCUGAGAGGGGGAUCGGCCACAGUGGGACUGAGACACGGCCCAAACUCCUACGGGAGGCAGCAGUAGGGAACCUUCCGCAAUGGGCGAAAGCCUGACGGAGCAAUGCCGCGUGAGUGAAGAAGGCCUUCGGGUCGUAAAACUCUGUUAUAAGAGAAGAACAAAUUGUAGAGUAACUGCUACAGUCUUGACGGUAUCUUAUCAGAAAGCCACGGCUAACUACGUGCCAGCCGCCGCGGUAA